rnacentral:rRNA from 1 species
AGUACGUGAAACUGCUUAGAGGUUAAGCCCGAUGAACCUGAAUAUCCAUUAUGGAAAAUUCAAUAUUAAGAAUAUAAUAUUUAAUUAUAUUGUAUGAAUAGUAUGCAAUUUUUCCAUAUAAGGACAUUGUAAUCUGUUAAUGUCUUAAAUGUUUAUCAAAAGAUCUUUUACUUAAGUUUAUUUAAAUUGUUUAUUUUCGGAUAUUCAACAUAAAAUAAAUGUUUAAGAUUUGAUAAAUCAUUGACAGAUAUAAUUAUAUAAAAUGCUCAAAUUCUUCGGAAUUUUACAAUGAUAAGUAGAUCUAUUGAUUUAUUUGUUAUUGCAUGCGUUUUUAUGAUUAACAAUGCGAUAGAUUCAGGAUACCUUCGGGACCCGUCUUGAAACACGGACCAAGGAGUCUAACAUAUGUGCAAGUCAUUGGGUAUUUUUAAUAAAACCCAAUGGCAUAAUUAACUUAACUGAUUAAUAAUGGGAUUAAUUUAUAUUUUGUUAUGAUUUAUUUAUUCAAUCCCGGGGCGUUCUAUACAGUUAUGCAUAAUGAUAUUUAUAUUAUUUAUGCCUCUAACUAGAGCGUACCUUGAGC